AGCUCAUGAUAAGGACAUCUUCUCAAAAGUUCUUUAAAUCUAUCACAUGCCUCUUGCAAUGUUUCAUCUUCCAUUUGAAAAAAAGCUAGAAUUUCUUGCCUCAGCUU